GCUGACACCAUCACCUUCACUGAUCCCACUGACCUCUGCAGUGCCACCAACCAAACCAUCUCCGUCCUCAAGAACAGUGACUUCAACAUCACCAUCUUUGACGGUAGAAGUAGACAAGUAGAGAAAAUCUCCCCUCUGGGAUAAAGUGUUGGCUGGAAAAGAGAUGGAUGAAAUGGCUGCACACCUCACAAUUGGCGCAGACCCUGCUGCUCAUCUUCCGUAACGUGUUGUGCAGCCAAGAGAAGCACCAGGUGUCGACCCAUGUCAUUAACAUCACAAAAGCUUCAUGUUCUGGUGGUUCUGUGGCACCAAGCAGGACCCUCUUUUCCUGGUACCCUGUGCAUCAUGGGAUAGUCUCCCUACAACCUUCAAAA